CAUGGCUCAGGAUGAACGCUAGCUACAGGCUUAACACAUGCAAGUCGAGGGGAAACGGCAUUGAGUGCUUGCACUCUUUGGACGUCGACCGGCGCACGGGUGAGUAACGCGUAUCCAACCUUCCCAUUACUGUGGGAUAACCUGCCGAAAGGCAGACUAAUACCGCAUAGUCUUCGAUGACGGCAUCAGAUUUGAAGUAAAGAUUUAUCGGUAAUGGAUGGGGAUGCGUCUGAUUAGCUUGUUGGCGGGGUAACGGCCCACCAAGGCUACGAUCAGUAGGGGUUCUGAGAGGAAGGUCCCCCACAUUGGAACUGAGACACGGUCCAAACUCCUACGG
rnacentral:rRNA from 1 species